rnacentral:rRNA from 1 species
GCGUGAGUGAUGAAGGCCCUAGGGUCGUAAAGCUCUUUCGCCAGGGAUGAUAAUGACAGUACCUGGUAAAGAAACCCCGGCUAACUCCGUGCCAGCAGCCGCGGUAAUACGUAGGGGGUUAGCGUUGUUCGGAAUUACUGGGCGUAAAGCGCGCGUAGGCGGAUCAGAAAGUUAGGGGUGAAAUCCCGGGGCUCAACCCCGGAACGGCCUCUAAAACUCCUGGUCUUGAGUUCGAGAGAGGUGAGUGGAAUUCCGAGUGUAGAGGUGAAAUUCGUGGAUAUUCGGAGGAACACCAGUGGCGAAGGCGGCUCACUGGCUCGAUACUGACGCUGAGGUGCGAAAGUGUGGGGAGCAAACAGGAUUAGAUACCCUGGUAGUCCGCACCGUAAACGAUGAAUGCCAGUCGUCGGGUAGCAUGCUGCUCGGUGACACACCUAACGGAUUAAGCAUUCCGCCUGGGGAGUACGGUCCCAAGAUU